rnacentral:siRNA from 1 species
AGAGUAGUUAUCACUAAUGCCUA